rnacentral:lncRNA from 1 species
GUGGAAUACAGUGCAAAAGAAGAUCGACUCAUCGACAUGGAAACGCUGCCUGGAGUGGACAGGAAUCUUAUUGAGAGGAGAGUUCACCCUUACAAGGCCUGAAUAGGACGGGGGAAGUGUGUGAGCUUCAGGGAGAUGAGAAUCUCUGGCCCGCAUUGGCCACCAGAUAUCACUUGGAGAGGGAGAGUCUCUGCAGACUGAUACGAGGAUGGAGGGAUGGGGGAUAGGAAGUGAAAGAAGAGAGAAUCCCUCUGUCAGUGUUUUAUGAAAGAGACGGGCAUCAAGACAUCUUCGAAAAAUGACCUGAGCCCUAGGACCAUGCCUCAGGACUACCUGGUAUGAUGACUCCUUGCUGUCCCCAGUCCACCUGGCCGUGCUGCUGCUCCAGUUUCAACUGUUCUGCCUGCGGCUAUGGAACCCUGACCUGUUCACCGGACGUGCUUGUUGCACCCUCGACAACUACUAUGAUUAUUAUUAUUUGACCAUGCUGGUCAUUUAUGAACAUUUUAACAUUUUAACAUCUUGACCAUGUUCUGUUAUAAUAUCCACCCUGCACAGCCAGA